rnacentral:rRNA from 1 species
AAGCAGGGGAUCGUAAGACCUUGCGCUUUUGGAGCGGCCGAUGCCUGAUUAGCUAGUUGGUGGGGUAAAAGCCUACCAAGGCGACGAUCAGUAGUUGGUCUGAGAGGACGACCAGCCACACUGGGACUGAGACACGGCCCAGACUCCUACGGGAGGCAGCAGUGGGGAAUUUUGGACAAUGGGCGAAAGCCUGAUCCAGCAAUGCCGUGUGAGUGAAGAAGGCCUUCGGGUUGUAAAGCUCUUUCAGUCGAGAAGAAAAGGUUGUGAUGAAUAAUCACAACUCAUGACGGUAUCGACAGAAGAAGCACCGGCUAACUACGUGCCAGCAGCCGCGGUAAUACGUAGGGUGCAAGCGUUAAUCGGAAUUACUGGGCGUAAAGGGUGCGCAGGCGGCUUUGUAAGUCAGAUGUGAAAUCCCCGGGCUUAACCUGGGAAUUGCGUUUGAAACUACAAAGCUAGA